UAGUAGGUGGCUUAGUGGUAAGAGUUUGGGACUAAGGCUCCUUGUGGUCUUAGGUUCGAGCCCUGUAAUUGCUAA
rnacentral:tRNA from 1 species